rnacentral:rRNA from 1 species
UACGUAGGGGGCAAGCGUUGUCCGGAAUCAUUGGGCGUAAAGAGCGCGUAGGCGCCCAGUAAGUCCGCUCUGAAAGUCAGAGGCUCAACCUCUGAAUGCGGGUGGAUACUGCUGGGCUAGAGUCCGGAAGAGGCGAGUGGAAUUCCUGGUGUAGCGGUGAAAUGCGCAGAUAUCAGGAGGAACACCGAUGGCGAAGGCAGCUCGCUGGGACGGUACUGACGCUGAGGCGACGGAAAGCGUGGGGAGCAAACAGG